AAUAUUGGACAAUGGGCGAAAGCCUGAUCCAGCCAUGCCGCGUGAGUGAUGAAGGCCUUAGGGUUGUAAAGCUCUUUCAGUAGGGAAGAUAAUGACGGUACCUACUGAAGAAGCCCCGGCUAACUUCGUGCCAGCAGCCGCGGUAAUACGAAGGGGGCUAGCGUUGUUCGGAUUUACUGGGCGUAAAGCGCACGUAGGCGGAUUGGUCAGUUAGGGGUGAAAUCCCAGAGCUCAACUCUGGAACUGCCCUUAAUACUGCCAGUCUAGAGUCCGGAAGAGGUGAGUGGAACUCCUAGUGUAGAGGUGGAAUUCGUAGAUAUUAGGAAGAACACCAGUGGCGAAGGCGACCACCUGGGCUAAUACUGACACUGAGGUGCGAAAGCGUGGGGAGCAAACA
rnacentral:rRNA from 1 species